rnacentral:lncRNA from 1 species
UCCCCAUUCUCAUUCUAAAAUUUACUGGUAUGAAUCAAUGAAUAAAGAAUAUUUGAUUGCAUUAGGUUCUGUUCAAGAAGUUUGAACAUUUAUUGAUAUUUCAUUUCCCGCGCAGAAACAAAAUUAAAUUUCCUGAUAUUUAAAUCGCCAUUUCCUUGCUUGAGCAAAUCAUCUUACAAAAACGAUUAAAAUAAAACACAGACAUUGUCCUUGAAAACUAGUUUUUCAUUAUGUAUUACUGUUCCGGACUUUUAUGAACAACGAUGAAUAUGUUUCAAUUUCACUACCUUUCAGUAUAGGUAUAAUUGACUUACGGUAAAUAAUCUAAUUUGUCAUCGUAAUUUU